rnacentral:rRNA from 1 species
CCUACGGGCCGCACCAGUGGGGAAUAUUGCACAAUGGGCGCAAGCCUGAUGCAGCCAUGCCGCGUGUAUGAAGAAGGCCUUCGGGUUGUAAAGUACUUUCAGCGGGGAGGAAGGUGUUGAGGUUAAUAACCUCGGCAAUUGACGUUACCCGCAGAAGAAGCACCGGCUAACUCCGUGCCAGCAGCCGCGGUAAUACGGAGGGUGCAAGCGUUAAUCGGAAUUACUGGGCGUAAAGCGCACGCAGGCGGUCUGUCAGGUCGGAUGUGAAAUCCCCGGGCUCAACCUGGGAACUGCAUUCGAAACUAGCAGGCUAGAGUCUUGUAGAGGGGGGUAGAAUUCCAGGUGUAGCGGUGAAAUGCGUAGAGAUCUGGAGGAAUACCGGUGGCGAAGGCGGCCCCCUGGACAAAGACUGACGCUCUGGUGCGAAAGCGUGGGGAGCAAACAGGAUUAGAUACCCCUGUAGUC